ACAAUAGCAACUCAUUUCUAAAAACCCACCAUCAUUGUGGUGGAAAACAUUAAAAAUCGAUAAGCUUACAACAAUGAACAUUAAAUAUCAUAAACAAUGAGGAGAGAUAUUGACACGUGUACAGGUGAAGCUUUAUUCAAAUUUUCUAUGACAAACAAAUUUAAUAUAAAAAUCUAAUUUUGACAAACUUUCUUUAAUAACUUAAUUUUCCACUAAUUUUUUUUAUUCAAAUCAAAUUUCGACAAAUACCAUAAUAAUGUUGAGGGAGAAAAGCCGUGCCUAAAGUUUUUUACUCCUUCAUCUCAAUUAAGACUAUCCUUCGCGUAGUCUCCACCGUGGUAGCUAUCUUAAACGGCCGUUUUAAGUACAAAGUGGUUAACCCCAACAAAAUUUGAAUUUUUUGAAACGAAAAUAAUUUUUGAGUUGAGUAUGCAACUUUGAAGUUUAUGGCAAAAGAUGAGGUUUGGCGCUACUCCUGUGCUGUUUCCUCAUAAAACAAGCUCAAAAUCGCAUAAAGAAUUCGUAAAAUCGAUUUAUUUUAGAAAUUUAGCGAAAAAAAUUUUUCAGUUGAGUACGCAGCUUUCAAGUUUAUGGCAAAAAAUGAGUUUGGCGCUACUGCUCUGUUGUUUCCCUCUUGAGGCUCAAGAAGUCAAGACCCAAGAUCGGUUUUUAUGACAGCUAUAUCGAAACAUAGACCGCUUCGGCCAUUUUACAAUCCCAACUGAGCUACACUAAUAAAAAGUAUUUGUGCAAAAUUUCCAGCGCCUAGCUUUACUCCUUCGAAAGUUAGCAUCGUUUGGGUGCCGGGCCACAAUGGAGUAAGGGGAAAUGAAAGGGCAGCCGAUUUGGCGGUGAAGGCCAGAGGACUGCCGUCAAUAAACUUGGUUAACCCGCAACCUUUCGGGUCGACGCAGUCCGAGUUAAGGGAGUGGGCAACGAAUGCGCAUGCAACAUUGUGGAACAACGAUACGGUCGGUAGGACGGAUCGUAUAGAUAGAUCGUGAGAAGACAAAGCAGAAAGGAAGUAGGAAGGAGGUCAGUAUAGCUAUUGGUAUCAUAACGGGAUACAUAGGACUACGAGCCACUUAUGUAAAAUCGGUGCGGCAAGUGAUGCAUGUUUAGGGUAAGCGGGGAAGAUGGUGAGGCGUUGGAGCAAUUCCUUUGUCAUUGCCCGGCUAUCGCGUCUAACAAAUACCGGCACUUAGGUGGAGACACUUUACCAGACAUGAAGGAACUUAAG